rnacentral:piRNA from 1 species
UAAUUCCACAUGGGUUUUGAUAGGGAC